rnacentral:sRNA from 1 species
GCCAGGUGUGGUGGCGCACACUUGUAACUCCAGCUACUCGGGAGGCUGAGGUAGGAGGAUCACAAGUUCAAAGCCAGCCUCAGCAACUUAGCAAGGUCUUCAGCAACUUAGAGAGAUCCUGUCUCUA